CAGUCGCCGCGGGAAUACGAAGGGGGCUAGCGUUGCUCGGAAUGACUGGGCGUAAAGGGCGCGUAGGCGGAUCAUACAGUCAGAUGUGAAAUUCCUGGGCUUAACCUGGGGGCUGCAUUUGAGACGUGUGGUCUAGAGUAUGAAAGAGGGUCGUGGAAUUCCCAGUGUAGAGGUGAAAUUCGUAGAUAUUGAGAAGAACACCGGUGGCGAAGGCGGCGACCUGGUUCAUAACUGACGCUGAGGCGCGAAAGCGUGGGGAGCAAACAGGAUUAGAUACCCCUGUAGUCCCUGUCUCUUAUAC
rnacentral:rRNA from 1 species